AGUGAACGCUGGCGGUAGGCCUAACACAUGCAAGUCGAACGGCAGCACAGGAGAGCUUGCUCUCUGGGUGGCGAGUGGCGGACGGGUGAGGAAUACAUCGGAAUCUACUCUGUCGUGGGGGAUAACGUAGGGAAACUUACGCUAAGACCGCAUACGACCUACGGGUGAAAGCAGGGGACCUUCGGGCCUUGCGCGAUUGAAUGAGCCGAUGUCGGAUUAGCUAGUCGGCGGGGUAAAGGCCCACCAAGGCGACGAUCCGUAGCUGGUCUGAGAGGAUGAUCAGCCAAACUGGAACUGAGACACGGUCCAGACUCCUACGGGAGGCAGCAGUGGGGAAUAUUGGACAAUGGGCGCAAGCCUGAUCCAGCCAUACCGCGUGGGUGAAGAAGGCCUUCGGGUUGUAAAGCCCUUUUGUUGGGAAAGAAAUCCAGCUGGCUAAUACCCGGUUGGGAUGACGGUACCCAAAGAAUAAGCACCGGCUAACUUCGUGCCAGCCGCCGCCGUAA
rnacentral:rRNA from 1 species